rnacentral:rRNA from 1 species
UACGUAGGGUGCGAGCGUUAAUCGGAAUUACUGGGCGUAAAGCGUGCGCAGGCGGUGAUGUAAGACAGAUGUGAAAUCCCCGGGCUCAACCUGGGAACUGCAUUUGUGACUGCAUCGCUGGAGUGCGGCAGAGGGGAUGGAAUUCCGCGUGUAGCAGUGAAAUGCGUAGAUAUGCGGAGGAACACCGAUGGCGAAGGCAAUCCCCUGGGCCUGCACUGACGCUCAUGCACGAAAGCGUGGGGAGCAAACAGG